GCCUGUCUAUCUCGUGGGUUUUCUCCGGGUCCUCCGGUUUCCUCCCACUGCUAAAGACCCCUACACACAAGCGAAUUAUUGAAAUAAAAUUAAACCAUAUGUUAGUCCCGAAAUGACCUAGUUCACCUAGUUUGUGUCGAGUGGACGUUAAACCCCGUUUCUCUCUCUCGGCCUAAAGAAACACCGACAAGUACAAUUCUAGAUAGCAUCAAUAUUGAAUGAGAUGUAUGAGAAGGGCAUGACAUCAAGGGCUAAGGCCCAUAGUCACCUACAUAGUGAGGCCACACUACGAACCGGGCUUCCACUCCAAACUAUAUUGUGAUGAUAAUGUCGAACAAGCAAAUCCAGAUAAAGAGAUUGAAGAGCAAGAAAGAGCUCAAGAACAUUUAUCAAUAAUACCAGAAAGAGAUGAAGCUAUUGCUACUG